GCACUUCCUGCAGAUGAAGAGAGGGGUAAACUGGCAGAUCUAUUUUAUCGUCUUGAACAUCAGGAAGAGGAUCUGCAGAAGAAGAAAGAAGCUGAGCCAGUCCUAGUUCAGCUUCAACGUGUAUCUGAUGCCAGGCAUUCAGAUGAUUGUGCCCUUCACAAGGCUCUUCAAGCCCAACUCAGGAGUCAAAAGAAAAGAGUUGCUGAAGAAGA
rnacentral:misc_RNA from 1 species